UAAACAAGAGAAAGUCUGCAAAUCCUAAGCAACACACGCAAAAUGCUGGAGGAACUCAGAAAGCAUCAAUGGAAAUGAAUAAACAGUCAACGUUUCAGGCCGAGACCCUUCUUCAGGACUGAGAAAGGAGAGGGCAGGUGCCCGAAUAAAAGGUGGGGGGGGGGGGUGAAAAAGGUGAGCUGGAAGGUAAUAGGUGAAGCCAGGUGUGUGGGGAAGGUCAAGGGCUAGAGAAGAAGGAAUCUGAUAAGAGAGGAGAGAGGAGCAUAAGAAAAAGGGAAGGAGGAGGGGACACAGGGUGAAAUAUAAAACAAGCUAGCUUCACCGGCAUGAUUUUUAAUCAUAAAAUAGGAAGAGGCGUCUCUUACUGCCUUCUUGUAUGCAAUUAAAAUGUUCUGUAUAAUUCUAUUGCACCGUUUUAUUAAACAAAGGAAAAACUCUCCAGAAGGAACAGUUAUCACCAUGCAAAUGCAUUUACAGAAAGGUGUGGAUAAACCUGGAGGAGGAUGUUGAAUUAUUCAUUUCCCUCCAAUAUUACAUUUGAAAAAUCUUUGGAAGAAAAGUCAUCUAGAACUUGGCUUUACUUCAGGACAAUCAUCUUAUAUUUAUACCCCAGAAAAUGUAGUUGUCUUCUCUGUAAGUAAUAAUAAAUUUUCUCUUCACAGUGGGAUAAGGCUCCAGUCUUGAGGUGAAUUCAUUACAGAGGAAAUUACAGCAGUAAGCAGUUUACGGUUUGGGGAAAUGGAGAGAUCUUCAAGAGUAUAUCAAUUGACUUUCAAAACCUGGAGAAGAAUCUCAGCCGGAAACAUCAUCCAUCUGAUUACCCUUUUCCAUGGAUGCUGCCAGGCCUGCUGAAUUCCUCCAGCGUCUUGUGUGCAUUGCUCUGGAUGUCCAGCAUCUGCAGACUUCCUCGUGUUUGCGAUUUACUUUUCUAUCAGUGACGAAACUGCAUCUGACCUAAACAGUCGCACAACAUUUUUAAAACUGUUAUGCAAAUACUUUGCAUUACUACCAGUGGUGGAAAAAUAAAUAAACCUUUGCUGAGAUUUACUACAGUCUCAGAGAGCGCCCUGCCUUAGUGAAUGCAUUACUUGAUGUCUCAGUGUUGAUUAUGCAUAAAGAUUUAUAAACCAUUCUGCGAGCUACCUAAUUAUAGCCCUGUCAAGAGAACUGAUACUUUUAAAGAAGUCCACAUUCAUUUUUGGAAUGCAAGGACUUGGCUUAUUUUGACACAAAUGUAGCGGUUGCUGUGAAACCCAGGUGUUUUCCUGUGUCUUUAAGGAGAAGGCUGUACAGUCUCCAUUGCUCCAGCAUCAUAUUACAGUGAGUCACUUAACUGGAGUUCAAGCAGAAUUCCACAGCUGAAGGAUUUCUACUUAACUGGUUUAUCAAUUAUUCAUGCCUUCUGUCUGAGUGCGAUGAAUGAGCACAUCGUCUCCAUUCACAAGAUGAACUCUGCACAGAUGAACAAUCGUCCAUGUGCACAGAAAUCUACUACAGAGAGGUAUUGGAGACAGCUGGAGGAGGAAACUAGAAGUCCAUGAGUCACUCUUCAUCAGGUUAUCGAGGUGGAAAGGGCAGAAGAUGCAGAAGCCUGAAAGCACAUACCACCAGGCUCAAGGACAGCUUCUAUCCACCGAUAUGAAACUCUUGAAUGGACCUCUUUUACAGUAAAAUCACCUCAUAGCCUGUCCCAUUAUGAUCUUGCACUUUAUCAUUUACAUACACUACACUUUUUAGGCAGCUUUUCACUUUAUUCUACAUUGUUAUUGUUUUACCCUGUUCUAGUUGAAUGCACUGUAUAAUGAUUUGAUCUGUGAGUACAGUACGUAAGACAAGCUUUUCUCUGUAUCUUAGUACAUGUGAAAACAAUAAACCAAAAACCAAUGUUCUCUGAACUUCCAUUGAAUUUGGGAUUGACCAGAAAUGGAAGAUAGCACGUUGUCUGUCCUCCAUGUAACAGGAAGGAUAUUGUACAAGUGGAGUAAGUACUAGGAAAGAUUCUAUUAAUGACUCCAGAAGUAAACAUCUAUAAUUAUUGCCAGAAAAGGGCCAGAUGGAGACACAGGAAACUGCUGCAAACUGCAGCAAUUCACAAAGCACUGAAGGAACCAUGGGUCAGGCAACAUCUAUGCAGCGAAAUGGACAAUUGACAUUUUGGAUCAAGGUCUUUCCGCUGGACUCAUUAAGCCACCUAGGCUUAGGCUCCCCUUUUCACAUGAAAUGCUGUAGCAGGAAAGCAGCAUCCAUCAUCAGGGACCCCCUCCAGCCAGGACAUGCUCUCUUCUCGCUGCUGCCAUCAGGAAGAAGGUAGAGGAGCCUCAGGACUUGCACCACCAGGUCUAGCAAACAGUUACUACCCCUCAGCCAUCAGGCUCUUAAAUAAACAAUUUCAAUUGCCCCAUCAUUAAAAUGUUCCCAUAAUCAGUGGGCUCUCUUUCAGGGACUCUUCCUCUCAU